UGGACUGCAGCUUACACCAUUAGCUCUCCUUAUUCUUAGGCCUUUGGAUUGGGACUGAUAUUGUACCAUUAUAGAGACAGUCCAGACUAAUGCAUAGCCCCAAAGCAGCCACAGAUAAUAUGUAAACAAUUGGAUGUGGCUGUGUCCCAAUAAAGCUUAAUUCACAAAAGCAGAUGACAGGAUAAAUGUGGCCUGCAGAAGAUAGUUUGUUGACCCUUGGACUAGUCUGAUCAUUGGCUUAAGCAAAGCUUAAAACUUGAUUGUAACCAAAGAUAAAUGUAAUUUUGUAUUACAGAAGAUUGAAUGUUGAUUCAUACUUAAUAGCCAGAUUAACUUGUUAACAACUUCAUGGCUGAAAUUUCCAAUAAACAUUAAAAAAGUCCUUCAAAUACACAUGUAAAUAAAAGUGUAAUUAGUAACAUGGCAUAAAGAAUGACUACCAGAUUGAGGGGACGGAGGUGGGGGGCUGUCAGGGAACC
rnacentral:lncRNA from 1 species